rnacentral:rRNA from 1 species
GCAUAUCAAUAAGCGGAGGAAUCACGAAUUCUGGAUCCGAGACGAACGCGNUGCAGCAUGCGGACCNUCCCNA